UCUUAUGGAUGAGUAAAGAAAGUGGUUUCUUAAGAUGGACUCUGCUUCCAAUAAAGAUGCUGUGAC
rnacentral:pre_miRNA from 1 species